AUGCCCAGCAGCAAAGCGAGCCCGGGCGCCCGCGGGCCAUGGAGCGACGGCGAGACGUCGGCUCUCGUGGACGCCUGGGGCCCGCUGUACCUCCGCCGCGACCCAGACCCCCUCGGCGUGGAGGACUGGCGCGUCGUGUGCAGCGCCGUCAACGCCCAGCGCGCCGCCGAAGGUUGCCGCUUCAACCGCACCCUCGUCCAGUGCCAGAAGCGCGUCUACACUCUCAAGGACCAGUACAUGAAGGAGCUCGCCAAGGGGCGGCCGGCGUCGGGGUGGCGCCACUUCGCCCGGCUCCGGGCCUUCCUGGCCGCCUCGCCUCCUGGCUUCGUUGGCAAGAGGCCGGCGGCAUCCGUCAAGAAGGAGAAGGCCGCCAAGACGCCGACGGCAUCGUCCUUCAAGAAGGAGAAGGUGCAGGAGGCGAGCCCCGGCUUCCUGGCAACGAUGCCGGCGACCGUCAAGAAUGAGGAGGUGGUCGGCUGUGGUUGUGAGUUGGUUGGGAGAGCGAGGUGUUGUCCGGGGGCGGUGGUGACGAAGCUUGCGGGGGUGUAUGAACGCGUGCAGAUGAGGAGGCUCAACGUCGAGGAGAAGAGGAUGGAGAAGAUCUCAUGUUGCAGCCUGGGACACAAGAAGAUGAAGAUCGAGAAUCCGGAGGAAACUGACGGCAACUAA
rnacentral:rRNA from 1 species